GACAGAGGGUGCAAACGUUGCUCGGAAUCACUGGGCAUAAAGCGCACGUAGGCGGUCCGCUAAGUCUGAUGUGAAAUCCCUCGGCUCAACCGGGGAACUGCAUUGGAUACUGGCGGGCUUGAGAGUUGUAGGGGUGGACGGAACUCCAGGAGGAGCGGUGAAAUGCGUAGAUAUCUGGAGGAACACCGGAGGCGAAAGCGGUCCACUGGGCAACUUCUGACGCUGAGGUGCGAAAGCUAGGGUAGCAAACGGG
rnacentral:rRNA from 1 species